UUCCGGUUGAUCCCGCCGGACCUUACUGCUAUCGGGGUGGGACUAAGACAUGCGAGUCGAGCGUCUCUAGCUAUGUUGAGACGCGGCAGACGGCUCAGUAACACGUGGCUAACCUACCCUCAGGACGAGGACAAACCCGGGAAACUGGGGCUAAUACUCGAUAGGUGAGUAUGUCUGGAAUGAUUUCUCACUCAAAGGGCUUUAGAAACAUGCUUCUAAAGUCGCCUGGGGAUGGGGCCGCGUCCGAUCAGGUUGUUGGUGAGGUAAUGGCUCACCAAGCCUAUAACCGGUACGGGCCGUGAGAGCGGUAGCCCGGAGAUGGGUACUGAGACAAGGACCCAGGCCCCACGGGGCGCAGCAGUCGCGAAAACUCCGCAAUGCACGAAAGUGUGACGGGGCUACCCCGAGUGCCAUCCGCUAAGGAUGGCUUUUCCUUGGUAUAACUAGCCGAGGGAAUAAGGAGAGGGCAAGACUGGUGUCAGCCGCCGCGGUAAUACCAGCUCUCCGAGUGGUAGGGAUGAUUAUUGGGCUUAAAGCGUCCGUAGCCGGCUUAGCAAGUCUCCUGUUAAAUUCAGCGACCUAAUCGUUGAGCCGCGGGAGAUACUACUAGGCUAGGAGGCGGGAGAGGUCGACGGUACUUCUGGGGUAGGGGUGAAAUCCUAUAAUCCCGGGAGGACCACCAGUGGCGAAGGCUGUCGACUAGAACGCGCUCGACGGUGAGGGACGAAAGCUGGGGGAGCGAACCGGAUUAGAUACCCGGGUAGUCCCAGCCGUAAACGAUGCGGGCUAGGUGUUGGGGUGGCUACGUGCCACUUCAGUGCCGCAGGGAAGCCAUUAAGCCCGCCGCCUGGGGAGUACGGCCGCAAGGCUGAAACUUAAAGGAAUUGGCGGGGGAGCACCACAAGGCGUGAAGCUUGCGGUUCAAUUGGAUUCACGCCGGGAAUCACUAG
rnacentral:rRNA from 1 species